ensembl:lncRNA
AGUGAUUUUCCACCUUCUCAGGACAGGGGUGAUAAACUGGAUUGUGCAGGGAUUAGGCAAAGUGGUUCCACAACCUGAUGACAAGCAGAAACAGCAGACAGAAUCCCAGGAGGUGACUGAGGUUCCAAAAGUGGUGCCAGAAGUAAAGGUGGUGCACACUGAGAUUAAAGUGGUUAAAGUGGAGCCUGAGCCUGAGCCUCCACCUCAAGUCCCUGUGGUGGAGGUGGUUUCUGAUGCAGAGCCUGAAGGAGACAAGCCGUUAACUCCCAGGGUGAUGGAGUGGAUAAAGCAUGGUUUGGAGAAGGUUGUUCCACAGCCGGGACACUCUCCAUCUAUUACAGACACUUCAGAUAAAAAAGAACCUGCUACUAAUACUGCACCUCCAAAGGCACCUGAUCAAUCAGCAGCUGAGGAUGCAACCAAGGGAACAAAUGUGGAGGAGGAAUCCAACGUGGUUAGCUGGAUUGCGCAGGGACUCGGUCGCAUUAUGCCACAGCCUGUUCUGAAGCCAAAAGAGGACACUUUGGAUACAGUUCAGAGCAUUUGCAUCCUGCAGGAAGACUUUGUGCAGGAGGACAACCUGGUGCUGGAGGAGAAACUGGUGCUGGAGGAGAACCUGGUGCUAGAGGAGGUGGACUCAGACUGGGAGCAGCAGCAGGUCGAGCAAGCUUGUUUGCUCAAUGCCAAACUGGAGAAACAGGCUGAAGUUCAUAUGGAGGAUCAGAUUUGCCCCCUGCAGGAUGUCCUAAACAACACCAUACCUGAUAUCUUCAUCACACAGCAGGAGGAUGCUGAGACACAAACAGAGCGCUGGACUCCUCUAAUAGAGAACAUUAGACGCGAGGCUGAGGAAGCUGCCUUGAUCUCCAUACAAGAGAGGCUGGAGCGUGAGCGUCUGGAGGCGGCGAGGAUAGCGGAGGAGUUGGCACGCCAGGCUGCUGAAUUGGCAGUAAGACAGCUGGAGGAGGAACACACUGUAAUCAGAGUCACAGAGUCAGAACGUGUGUCUGAACCAGACAGUGGAGAGCAACUUUCCAAUAUCCAGGAGGAAGA